GAAUUGACGGGGGCCCGCACAAGCAGCGGAGCGUGUGGUUUAAUUCGAGGCUACACGAAGAACCUUACCUGGGUUUGGCAUACAAGUAGUAGUGAAGCGAAAGCGGAACGACCUUCGGGAGCUUGUACAGGUGCUGCAUGGCUGUCGUCAGCUCGUGCCGUGAGGUGUUCGGUUAAGUCCGCAAACGAGCGCAACCCUCGGCGUUAGUUACAAGUGUCUAACGCAACUGCCCGUGAGAAACGGGAGGAAGGUGGGGAUGACGUCAAGUCAGCAUGGCCUUUAUAUCCAGGGCUACACACACGCUACAAUGGGCGGUACAACGGGUCGCGAAGCCGCGAGGUGGAGCCGAUCCAUAAAGCCGUUCGUAGUUCGGAUUGCAGGCUGCAACUCGCCUGCAUGAAGUCGGAGUUGCUAGUAACCGCAGGUCAGCUAUACUGCGGUGAAUACGUUCCCGGGCCUUGUACACACCGCCCGUCACGUCAUGGGAGCUGGUCACGCCUGAAGUCGGGGAGCUAACCUCACGGAGGCAACCGCCGAGGGCAGGGCUGGUGACUGGGACGAAGUCGUAACAAGGUAGCUGUACCGGAAGGUGCGGCUGGAUCACCUCC
rnacentral:rRNA from 1 species